AACCCUUUCCCGUCACAUCAUCGAAGUUAAGCAACGUCGAGCCUGGUCAGUACUUAGAUGGGUUACCGUUCGAGAAUAUAAGGUGCUGUAAG